GCUUAUCAGACACAUUCCCAAUCGUCUUCAGCAGUAGAAACUGUCCACAGGGCAAGCUGAAAAUGUUUGUUUUCAUAGUGAAUGUUUGUGGAUGUACCAGAUCACGGAAGCCAGGGUACAGCGCACUGGAAUCUGACGUGCUAAGACCUGCAACACAGCACCCCAGAUACCAGUGACACAAGCGUCAGGCGAAGAACCACAGCCGCUGAUGUUCAGUCAUUGGGCUUAUUGCAGACACUUCAAAUGAAAGCAGAUGUUGGACUACAGAGGCGUUGGUGACCUGAGCUAGCUGAGCACACCCACUUUCACCCCUUCUUUUCCCCCCAUCUUUUCCAGGAUACUCUUCCCUCAAUCCAUCAUAAAACCAUCAAAGUAUAAAGUAAUGCAGGGGGAAGAAAUGCG
ensembl:lncRNA